GUUAUAAAGGGUAAUACGGGUUUUAAAGGGUAAUAAGGGUUAUAAAGGGUAAUAAGGGUUAUAAAGGGUAAUAAGGGUUAUAAAGGGUAAUAAGGGUUAUAAAGGUUAAUAAGGGUUAUAAAGGGUUAUAAAGGGUAAUACGGGUUAUAAAGGGUAAUACGGGUUAUAAAGGGUAAUAAGGGUUAUAAAGGUUAAUAAGGGUUAUAAAGGUUAAUAAGGGUUAUAAAGGGUAAUACGGGUUAUAAAGGGUAAUACGGGUUAUAAAGGGUAAUAAGGGUUAUAAAGGUUAAUAAGGGUUAUAAAGGGUAAUAAGGGUUAUAAAGGGUAAUACGGGUUAUAAAGGGUAAUACGGGUUAUAAAGGGUAAUACGGGUUAUAAAGGGUAAUAAGGGUUAGAGGUAUUUCAGGAAGCUGACACUGAACACUUUUUGGACCCAGCAAUGUUUGCCCAUAGUACAGCCCUUCUUGUCCAGGAAAGCAUAAAUGUAUAUGGUCUUUACACAGCAACAGCUUCAGUACUUCUAAUUGUAGAGGAGUAUGUAAUAGUAUUGUAUAAUACUGUACCGGCGGCAGAAUAUUGCAGUACUGUAUAAUACAGGUGUGUAAAAGUCAACAAGUUAAUUGUGUUGUUGCCUUACCCCUCGUGGUGUUCCAG
rnacentral:lncRNA from 1 species